GUCCUUCCGGUUCUUCAAACACAGGUGGCAGGAGUCCCCAAGCAGAGGAAAGGCCACACCUGAGACCCAGGCUCAUUCCGAGAUGCAUACUGGCCCCAGCAUCUUCAGCACCUCAUCCAGUGUUCCAGUUGAAGGGCUGCUACCUUAUCUGCUAGCUGGUGCACUAGGGCUGGGGACAAGACUGGCAAAGCUGGGAUAACAGCUUUAUGCAAGAGGAUUAAGCAAACCCAACCUUCAUUUGCAUCAUGUUUUUUCCUCACUUGACUCUACUUUGGAUGGGGCAAAAGCUAAAUUUUGACUUCUACUCUCCCU